rnacentral:rRNA from 1 species
AGCGAACGCUGGCGGCAGGCUUAACACAUGCGAGUCGAGCGGGCAUCCUUGUGGUGUCAGCGGCAGACGGGUGAGUAACGCGUGGGAACGUGCCCUUCGGUUCGGAAUAACUCAGGGAAACUUGAGCUAAUACCGGAUACGCUCUUUUGGGGAAAGGUUUACUGCCGAAGGAUCGGCCCGCGUCUGAUUAGCUAGUUGGUGAGGUUAUGGCUCACCAAGGCGACGAUCAGUAGCUGGUCUGAGAGGAUGAUCAGCCACACUGGGACUGAGACACGGCCCAGACUCCUACGGGAGGCAGCAGUGGGGAAUAUUGGACAAUGGGGGCAAACCUGAUCCAGCCAUGCCGCGUGAGUGAUGACGGCCUUAGGGUUGUAAAGCUCUUUUCUCCGGGACGAUAAUGACGGUACCGGAGGAAUAAGCCCCGGCUAACUUCGUG